rnacentral:rRNA from 1 species
UACGGGGGGGGCAAGCGUUGUUCGGAAUUACUGGGCGUAAAGGGCUCGUAGGUGGCCAACUAAGUCGGACGUGAAAUCCCUCGGCUUAACCGGGGAACUGCGUCCGAUACUGCCGUGCUUGAGGACUGGAGAGGAGAUUGGAAUUCACAGUGGAGCAGUGAAAUGCGUAGAUAUUGUGAGGAACACUAGUGGCGAAGGCGAAUCUCUGGACAGUUCCUGACGCUGAGGCACGAAGGCCAGGGGAGCAAACGGG